rnacentral:ncRNA from 1 species
UUCUUAUCGUGAGAGAUGGAGGGAUUGGCCCUAUGAAGUCUCAGCAACCAGUUCCUGGCAUGGUGCUAAAUCCAAGUGGCGGUAGUCGCCUUGAAGAUGAGAA